CCUACGGGAGGCUGCAGUGGGGAAUAUUGCACAAUGGGGGAAACCCUGAUGCAGCGACGUCGCGUGAGUGAUGACGUAUCUCGGUAUUUUAAGCUUUAUUUGUAGGGAAGUAAAUGACGGUACCUGAGUAAGAAUCUACGGCUAACUACGUGCCAGCAGCCGCGGUAAUAUGUAGGGGGCAAGCGUUAUCCGGAUUUACUGGGUGUAAAGGGAGCGUAGACGGCAGCGCAAGUCUGAAGUGAAAUGCCGGGGCUUAACCCCGGAACUGCAAUUGAAACUGUGCAGCUAGAGUGCAGGAGAGGUAAGUGGAAUUCGUAGUGUAGCGGUGAAAUGCGUAGAUAUUAGGAGGAACACCAGUGGCGAAGGCGGCUUACUGAACUGUAACUGACGUUGAGGCUCGAAAGCGUGGGGAGCAAACAGGAUUAGAUACCCCGGUAGUC
rnacentral:rRNA from 1 species